GGGGAGACGGAGCAGCCUUGAGCCCUGCGGGGGCCAUCGCGCGGGGGGACCCACCCGCUCUCCCCCCCAACCCUCCUCAGCUGUAGCAGCCGGCGGCGGGGGCAGGAGUCAGCCCGCUUCCGACUGCACCCCGCCCGCCUCCCGGGGCUCCCAUUCUUUGGCCCCGGGACCCUAACCUCAUCCCGGGGUGGUUCCCUCUGGGCGUCCGAGUGCUGCCCACCUCUCCUCCUUCAUUCCUCCCUGCACCUCCUUACCUUCACUUUGCCCCAGCUCUCUUUCUCCUCUCUGUGUCCUGCUCUGUCGCCUCCUCUCCUCACUCUGUCCCUCCUGCCUCCUUCCCUGGCUCAUUCUACCCAGGAAAGUUUAGUUGCCCUCCCCCGCCCCCAUCAGGUCAACCUGACUAGUAAGCUAGGAGUAGGGGGAGAUGUAGGAAGGCCUGAGAGUUCGAGGGGGGGGAAGCUGUUUUCCCUGAACAAUUCCCCCAUCUUUUUAAUUUGGGGUGGUUGGAGUUUUUUUUAAAUCGUGUUUUUUUGAGGAGGUGGUAGGUGUUCAGAAAAGGAUGUGGGAAUGGAAGGGGUAGAUGAGUCAACCCUGUUACAAGAUUCCAAGGGUGGUGUGUUACCUGAUCCUUUUCGUGUGUGGAGUUCAGGGGGUCGGGAGGUUUGGCCUUUAUUCCCACAUUCAAAGUUGGAACCCCCACCAAAUUAAGAAUGGAGUUUUAGUACCCACUUGUGGCUGGAAUCCUGGGGGGAAGGGGUCCUUUUUUCCUUUUUCUUUUCUUUUUCUUUUUUGUUUCCUUUUAUUUUUUUGGCAACCCACACCCUUCCACACACACCCAAAAAUUAAACACCAAGAUCCUCUAACUUGUUUGGAUUGACUGAUGAAGACAUAAAGCCAGUUUCCGCUCUAUGUUUUUUGAGGUGGAGUGAGUGGUUUUCUUCAUUUUUAAAUGGCCAAAUGACAGCUUGACCCAGUUUGCUUUCCAAUCAAAGGGCAUUUUUUUUGAAUGUCUCUUUGUGGCACAAGAGCCAACGCAAAAAUGAUGGCGGCUUACAAUGGCGGUACAUCUGCAGCAGCAGCAGGUCACCACCACCACCAUCACCACCACCUUCCACACCUCCCUCCUCCUCACCUUCACCACCACCACCACCCUCAACACCAUCUUCAUCCGGGGUCGGCUGCUGCUGUACACCCUGUACAGCAGCAUACCUCUUCGGCAGCUGCGGCAGCCGCAGCAGCGGCCGCAGCUGCAGCCAUGUUAAACCCUGGGCAACAACAGUCAUAUUUCCCAUCACCGGCACCGGGUCAGGCUCCUGGACCAGCUGCAGCAGCCCCAGCUCAGGUACAGGCUGCCACAGCUGCUACGGUUAAGGCUCACCAUCAUCAGCACUCACAUCAUCCACAACAGCAGCUGGAUAUUGAGCCGGAUAGACCUAUUGGAUAUGGAGCUUUUGGUGUUGUCUGGUCAGUAACAGAUCCAAGAGAUGGAAAGAGAGUAGCACUCAAAAAGAUGCCCAACGUCUUCCAGAAUCUGGUCUCUUGCAAAAGGGUCUUCCGGGAAUUGAAGAUGUUGUGUUUUUUUAAACAUGACAAUGUACUCUCUGCCCUUGACAUACUCCAGCCUCCACACAUUGACUAUUUUGAAGAAAUAUACGUUGUCACAGAAUUGAUGCAGAGUGACCUACAUAAAAUUAUCGUCUCUCCUCAACCACUCAGCUCAGAUCAUGUCAAAGUUUUUCUUUAUCAGAUUUUACGAGGUUUGAAAUAUCUCCAUUCAGCUGGCAUUUUGCAUCGAGACAUUAAGCCAGGGAAUCUCCUUGUGAACAGCAAUUGCGUUCUAAAGAUUUGUGAUUUUGGAUUGGCCAGAGUGGAAGAGUUAGAUGAAUCUCGUCACAUGACUCAGGAAGUUGUUACUCAGUAUUACCGGGCUCCGGAAAUCCUGAUGGGCAGCCGUCAUUACAGCAAUGCUAUUGACAUCUGGUCUGUCGGCUGUAUUUUUGCAGAACUACUAGGACGAAGAAUAUUGUUUCAGGCACAGAGUCCCAUUCAGCAGUUGGAUUUGAUCACGGAUCUGUUGGGCACACCAUCACUGGAAGCAAUGAGGACGGCUUGUGAAGGCGCUAAGGCACACAUACUCAGGGGUCCUCAUAAACAGCCAUCUCUUCCUGUACUUUAUACCCUGUCUAGCCAGGCUACACAUGAAGCUGUUCAUCUCCUUUGCAGGAUGUUGGUCUUUGAUCCAUCCAAAAGAAUAUCCGCUAAGGAUGCCUUAGCCCACCCCUACCUAGAUGAAGGGCGACUACGAUAUCACACAUGUAUGUGUAAAUGUUGCUUUUCCACCUCUACUGGAAGAGUUUAUACCAGUGACUUUGAGCCCGUCACCAAUCCCAAAUUUGAUGACACUUUUGAGAAGAACCUCAGUUCUGUUCGACAGGUGAAAGAAAUUAUUCACCAGUUCAUUCUGGAACAGCAGAAAGGAAACAGAGUGCCUCUCUGCAUCAACCCUCAGUCUGCUGCUUUUAAGAGCUUUAUUAGUUCCACUGUUGCUCAGCCGUCUGAGAUGCCCCCAUCUCCUCUGGUGUGGGAGUGACGGUGGAAGAUAAUGUACUACUGAAGAUGUAAUGUAGCUUUCCACUGGAGUCUGGGAUUUGCAAUUCUGGAGUUCAGUGUGGAGACUUGAAACUUGAAUGUCCCUUCCAACUUUUAUAUUAAAAAAAAAAAAAAGACAAGAAAAUUGAAGAUCGUUUUUCACCUGUACAAGGAAUACUAAUGGAUCGUCUUAAAAUUGGUCUAGGAAAAAACCUUGGUGUGUGUUAUGGACAAUUAACUGUUAAAGUUAUUGUAAGUUAUCUGUAUUUAGCAGAGAUUUUCAUCUUGAGUGAUCUGAGCUGAAUUUGAAGACUAUUAAUAAGUUAUGUUUGGAAGUUUUAACUUCAAUGAAGUAAUUAUUUGCUGUGAAAGAAACAAACAUUGAAUUACUAAACAAAGAUGGUGCAAUAUCUUUGUUUUUUUUUUAUGAGGCUCCUGAGAAUCAACCCAACUGAAGCAUUUCAAUUCACUUGAAUGAGAAACGUGUUUAGUAUCAAAAGAGCCCAAGAAGACACUGGUGUGAAAGGUACAAUCUCAGAGGUUGGUCAAUUACCAUGGCACACUUACUGGUCACUUUGUACAAUGUAGAUUUGAAGUACAGUGGUGAAAACAUUAAAUGUGACAUUUGAAAAAAAAUGUGUCAUCUAUGUUAUUUCAAUUCCUUUCCUUUGUUUCCUCUUCAGUACAGCUUGUUUCCUGACUUGGCAAUGUUUUGAGACAUUUCCCUAUUUAUAUUUCCAUUUUGAUAUUUGAGGAACUAAGUUUUACGUAUUUUUUAAAAAUCUCUGCAGAAACCUUAGAUUGCCAGAAAACAGGUUAAAAACUUAGUUAACUGAUGUCAAAGACAGUAUGAUUUGUAUAUACAAUUUAGAAGUCUUUCUAGACCUCAGCUUCUCUCAUCCAGUCAGUCGUCUUUUUUUUUUUUUUCUUUAAGCAAAGAAUCCCAUUUUCAAAAAUGUAGAAUUUCUAAAGCUAGUGUGGACAAGCCAGGACUGUAAUCAACUAUAAUUUGUUUGCAGUUUAAUUGCAGUAUGAAGUAUGUAAUAAUACAUUAAGAACCCAGAAAACGGAGACAACCUCUUGUAGUGGCUCAUAUGGUUUGAAAUGAAUUUUUAUUUUGUUUUUCCUUUAUAGUAUGUCAUUUAAAAUGUUACUUUUAUGUUAAGAUAAAACUAUAUUGAAGAACAGAAUGCAAAGUUUGCAUCAGUUUUGAAAUUAAGACAGCUUAUUUCCUACUGUGCUCUCAGAUCUCUGGGGGUGUUAAUUAACUCUCCGGAAAAGAUGAGUGUUUAUCCCAUGCCGAGCCAUGUGUUAAACUCUUCAGGAACAUCACCAUGUCCUCUGGAAGCUGCCCUUUACUAGUAAAGCCUGAACAGCGUGGCAGUAAGUGGGCACUUUAGAGUCUGCUUUGCAGUAUUCUACUCGCUACUUCUCCUUCCUUAACCCUUUGGUGACCCAAUUAUUUUCUGCUUUGAGUGUUUGUUGAUACCAAGUCUUUUCACUAAUGGAAGCGUGCUGAAUCAUUGAGUGUGUCUGAAUUUUUGGUAGAUAUUAGGGAUUUUGUUAUUGUUGCCCCCUCCCACAAGCCAACACAAAGUGUUGAGUGGUACAUAUGAAGUACCACUAGUUAUACCCAAGUCCCCACCGGAAUCUACUGGCACAUAUGUGUAACAAAUAAAAAUUUUCAAAAUUUCUAUUUUUCCUACCGAAAAUUCAGACACCUCAUAUAACUCCCUGUAAAAACAGUAAUUUACAGUGCACGUCCAUUUCUUUGGUUUCAAACAGUCCUAAAGGCCUCUGCUGAGAAUAUUGAAUGCAGUCGUACAGCAGCUUCCCAGGCUGAAGAAGUUCAUGGUCGCUGUACUGCUGGGCACAAAAGGGUUAAAUAGUCUUUCCUUGGCCUCUGUGUUACCAAUCUUUUUUUCCCUUUUUCUCAGGCCACAACUCUCUCCCUCAUGGGAACGUAAUCCUCAAAUCUUCGUGUUUUUCAUUUCUGGCUUCUCUUCAUACUCAAACUAAUGGUUCUUAAUCUUCAUUACACAUUAGAAUGGCCUGAAGGACUUUUAGGACUCCCAGUGCUGGAUUAGAAUCUCUGGAGAAAGGAUUAUCUUCAUUACACAUUAGAAUGGCCUGAAGGACUUUUAGGACUCCCAGUGCUGGAUUAGAAUCUCUGGAGAAAGGAUUAGACACAUAUAUAUAUAUGUAUUUUUUUUUUUUUUUUUAAGUUCUCUAGUUGAUUCCAAUAUGCAGUCAAGAUUGAGAUCCACUGCCAUCUUAGGCUACCUCAUCUACCCCCAUGGCCGCAAUGACCAUAAGAGAAUGACCCGCAUCUCUCAUCUUUAUGCCCAGAUUUCUUUACUAGGUGCCAACUGGAAAUUUCUACUUGGGUAUCUCAUAGGAACCUCAAACAUGUCAAUAAUGAAAUAAUUUUCUUCCCCCACAACUUUACUGUUACUAUUUCUUAAUCAUUUUUCUCAGUUCCUCCUUCUGGCUCUUUUCUUUUCCCCUUCCUGAUCUAGCCCAGACUAGCAAAUGGUUGAGGCUUAACUGGCCAAGUCAUCCUUAGGAUUUUAUGCAGAAUUAUGGAAGAGAAGGGAGGUAUGAAUAUGGUGGAAGGGGGUGGGGGGCUCGAGCAGAGUUGCGAGCUGGCCCAAGCUGUAGCUCCCUCUCUGUUCACAUUGGCACCUGGUACCAAGGUGGUGCUCUUGGAAACACAAUACCAGGUUUUUCUUUUUUUGGUGGGUGAGAUGGAAGACAAUGACUCAGAUUAGAGUACUCCAUCUACUCCCCAACCCUCAAUCCUGGGCCUCAGCUUCACCAUCCACCCAGUUACAUAAGCGAGAAAGAGAGUCCUCCACACUCCCACCUUAACUCCAAAAUUCACGUAUAUUUUGCAUUCUCUUCUUUAAUAUAUUUUUAUUUUAAUAUAAAGCUAAUGUUUUAAAUGACAUACUGUAAAGGAAAAACAGAAUUAAAAUUCCUCGAUUAAUGAGCUAGAUGCUAUUGAGUCUUAUUUUUUGUUUUGGGAAUUGUAGCUGAAUCGAAGACACUGAUUUUACUUAUUGGAUUGGACAUCCAGUUUCUCCUAUUUUAAUAUAAAAUAUUUUGAGAAUCAAGCACGUAAGUGGCAACUUUUAUUUCCCUACACUUUUCUUAAGAGUUUUAUCAGCGUGUGAACAAUGCCCAGACACUUGGGAAAAAGCGGUAAAUUCCAAUGUUUUUCAGGUUACUGUUCGUAGCAUGCUUUGGGAAGUGGGCCUUCUUGCUAAGAGGUCAGUGUUUAUGUCAUGUAGCAGACUUAAGAAGUCUUUGAUCCGGUGGUCACUCUCCUGUCUCAGAGAAACCAAAGCGUUCUGAGUAAACAAAGAUUGAUUUAUUUUGGUACUACUACUAAGUUUUCAUCAUUCUCACAAGCAACUGUGUUUAUCCAGUUCUUAAUUACAGCAGUUUUAUCAUUUACUUUCUUUUUUGUAAAGAAACAGUUUUACCUUAGAGUUGUUAAGAGUGUUUAUCCUUCAAAAGAAAAAUCUCUUAUAUACGAGGAUCUGGCAAGCCAUUUUUUCAAAACUUAAUUUUUUUGAAUUGGUAAUACAUAAAUGUGAAUGUAUUACCAAUUCAAAAUGUAAACCGUUUCCAGUUUUGUGGAUCAUUCCAGAAAUACUCUACGUAAUCAAGCUUGUGCUUUUUUAUGUGAAUGAUAGAAUACAUGUACACUGUCCUGCAUCUUGCUUUUUUCCUUUCAUAUAUAUAGAUUGUUCCACACAAGUACACAGAGAGCCAUCUGAUUGCUUUAAUUUGAACCCCUUUUUUAUUAUUAAAAUGAACAAUAAAUAUAACUUGAGUGUAUUCCCCCUUAUCCAUGUUUUUGCACUUUGCCAUGAAAUUUUUUCUGUAAAGACAAAUAAUUUAAGGUUGAACCAACUAACCAGUUUCCCCCGGGUAAGCCAAUGCUCAUAUGUGUAAUAGUACAGAUAUUUUAAAAUUUCCUGUCUUGGUGCAAAUUUUCUUAAAAUACAGUAUUCAGACCACUUUUUUUUAAAAAAAAAAAAGGAAACUAACCAUUUUUUCACUGAAAAAAUCAUUUAAGUACACACACUUUUGCGAGGUCCAGAUAUGGCCCUAUCUACUCAUUUGUGUAUAUUUUUCCAUUUCAUACUGCCUGCCAAAACGCAUAUCUUGUUGGAUAGUUUCAAUUAUUUUAUCACCCAAGGACUUUAAGAAUUAACAUGUCUUCACAUACAUAUACCUAUGGCAAAAUAAAGAGUAAUAAAAUGACCAAAUCAUCAGUAUCCAUGCUUUCAUCUAACUGUCAAGAAUCAGGUUAAGCUGUUGCAGCCAGUUAUGUUCAUAUAUCUUUUUCAAUACAGUAAAAAGUAUCAUUUGAACUUUUAUCUCUAGCAGUAUGGAAGACUAGAUAGCCUGAAAACUCUUAUUACUGAACACCUAGAAAUUCCUGAUAAAAUAUAAUAAAUAUUCUCUUAAAUAGCUGAGCUGAAUAAAGAAAUGGCAUUCCUUAGGGACCGAAAAACAAAGAGCCAAGUGAAAAGAAAUGAAGCCAUUGAUUAUUUCAAACCACUUGCUGAGCUCUUAGCCACUGCACCACUAAAAACCCAAUGCACCACUAUGACUCCAAAAAUAAUAGUAGGUAACUAAUUAAAAAAAAAAAAAAAACUAAUAGCUAAUAUUAAUUGUGUGCCAGACUAAGGGCUCAAGCUGCUAAUCAAAAAGUCGGCAGUUUGAAUCCACCAGCCACUACUUGGAAACACUAUGGGUCAGUUCUACUCUGUUCUAUAGGGUCUCUAAGAGUCAAUUGACUCGAUGGCAUUGGGUUUAGUUUUUGUUGUUUUUUUUAUGUGCCAGGCAUUCCUCUAAAUGCUUUACAAAUAUUAACUUUACAACGAUCCUAUAAUGUGGGUAUUAUUAUUAGCUCCAUCUUCCAGAUGAAGAAACUGAGGCUUAAAGAAGUAACCUGGAACUUGGGCUUGUAACAGCCACAUGGCACAUAAAAAAUCUACCUGGAAGCUUCUAACAGUUUGACCUCAAGAUGGGGAAAAAAGCCUCCCACAAGAAUUCUUUUUUUUCUUCUUCCUUCCACAAGAAUUCUUAACCACAAGUUUCCCUUUGCAUGUCAUUAGAGUUCAGAUUUACAUUACCAUCAAGACCUGGGAAACUCAAGCCAAGAUAUUAAAGUAGCCGUCAGUUGGGAGUGCCCUGGUGUGCCUGGCAGAAGCAGACAUAAAUGCCUUUUCUGCUGAUGCAGCCUCACGUUGGGCCUCACGGGAUUCCGAUAAAUGGAGCCCACUCAAAUGAUGAGGUCACAAUCCAAAAUUACAAAACACAAGGAAAUAAGCCGCUAUACUUAAGGAACAAUUAGAAACUAAGUACUUCAGAAUUUAGAGGUAUUGGAUGCAGAAUAUAAAAGGAUUGUGCUUCAAAUACUAAGAUAUCAAAAAGCCAACCAAGGAAUAAAAGUCUGAAAUACGAUGAGGCAAAAUUUUAAAAUAAAACAUCUACAAAUGGACAAAAAAAAAAAAA